AUGCAGGGCUGUUAUGACAUUAUUUUUGGGAUGAUAUGUUCAGGAUUUUACAGGUUUAUAGAGCAGUAUUGCAGGCUGUUUUUGACAUGGUUUUGGGCUAGUAGUAGCAGAACAGACAACAUACAUUAUUUUUGGUCUGUUUUGCAGCAGGUUGAUGCAGGGCAAUAUGUUUUAUUGUGUUAUGGAUUGGUGUAG